GUCCAUGCCGUAAACGUUGGGAACUAGGUGUGGGUCUCAUUCCACGAGAUCCGUGCCGCAGCUAACGCAUUAAGUUCCCCGCCUGGGGAGUACGGCCGCAAGGCUAAAACUCAAAGGAAUUGACGGGGCCCGCACAAGCGGCGGAGCAUGUGGAUUAAUUCGAUGCAACGCGAAGAACCUUACCAAGGCUUGACAUAUACCGGAAACAUCCAGAGAUGGGUGCCCCGCAAGGUCGGUAUACAGGUGGUGCAUGGUUGUCGU
rnacentral:rRNA from 1 species